rnacentral:misc_RNA from 1 species
AAAGACUGCUAUGCUUAGUUUGGGCAACUCCAGUGGUGGUUCUAGUGUUAGCUCUAGCAUCAUUGCCACCUACAUCCAUAGCUCUGUGCUCUGCAACUCUCUGAUCUCUCAUCGAAGGCAUGUAGGCCUUCUUCGUGUUGAUGCAAGCAUUGUAUUGCAAGUAGAGCCCUAUGUGUACUAGUAUACCAAUAGAGAAAGGCUCACAGUCACCUGUUAGGGGCAUAGGAACCUUAGUAUUUAGGUCAAAACCAAGGCCCAGGACAUGGGUGAGGAGACGCCCAUAGGCCAGACAACCAUUCUUAAGCCUGAGAGAGUCAACAAUGGUCUGAAUUAUAAUCUGGGUAAUGUUCAACUGUUGUCCUUCUAAUAGGCAAGUCGUCUCAAGACACAAAGAUGUUUGAAUGGGUUAAGUCUAUCCGUUGUCCUAAUAUAGGCAAGAUCUCAUAGGUGAUAAUGUGGUGGAGAACUUUUGGUGAAGCAUAAAGAUCAGAGUACACCAACCUAGAUGGCUCAUAUAUAUCAGGGGGUUUUGUGCGAUUGUGUUUGUUUGUUGGAGGGGAG